rnacentral:rRNA from 1 species
AGGCUUUGCUUGGUGGUGAGAGUGGCGAACGGGUGAGUAAUGCGUGACCGACCUGCCCCAUACACCGGAAUAGCUCCUGGAAACGGGUGGUAAUGCCGGAUGCUCCAGUUGAUCGCAUGGUCUUCUGGGAAAGCUUUCGCGGUAUGGGAUGGGGUCGCGUCCUAUUAGCUUGAUGGUGGGGUAACGGCCCACCGUGGCUUCGACGGGUAGCCGGCCUGAGAGGGCGACCGGCCACAUUGGGACUGAGAUACGGCCCAGACUCCUACGGGAGGCAGCAGUGGGGAAUAUUGCACAAUGGGCGCAAGCCUGAUGCAGCGACGCCGCGUGAGGGAUGGAGGCCUUCGGGUUGUAAACCUCUUUUAUCGGGGAGCAAGCGAGAGUGAGUUUACCCGUUGAAUAAGCACCGGCUAACUACGUGCCAGCAGCCGCGGUAAUACGUAGGGUGCAAGCGUUAUCCGGAAUUAUUGGGCGUAAAGGGCUCGUAGGCGGUUCGUCGCGUCCGGUGUGAAAGUCCAUCGCUUAACGGUGGAUCCGCGCCGGGUACGGGCGGGCUUGAGUGCGGUAGGGGAGACUGGAAUUCCCGGUGUAACGGUGGAAUGUGUAGAUAUCGGGAAGAACACCAAUGGCGAAGGCAGGUCUCUGGGCCGUCACUGACGCUGAGGAGCGAAAGCGUGGGGAGCGAACAGGAUUAGAUACCCUGGUAGUCCACGCCGUAAACGGUGGAUGCUGGAUGUGGGGCCCGUUCCACGGGUUCCGUGUCGGAGCUAACGCGUUAAGCAUCCCGCCUGGGGAGUACGGCCGCAAGGCUAAAACUCAAAGAAAUUGACGGGGGCCCGCACAAGCGGCGGAGCAUGCGGAUUAAUUCGAUGCAACGCGAAGAACCUUACCUGGGCUUGACAUGU